AAAGGGCGACUCUCACAAGACCCAAGUCCUCCUAGAGCACAGGAAAGUGUCGCUUCAGGUCGAAGAAGGGAGAGAAAGCAGCUUUCCGCAUCUGCAUGGUUGUCUAGUGGCUAGGAUUCGGUGCUGAAAGCGCCACGGCCCGGGUUCGAUUCCCGGUCAGGGAAUUGUUUUGCACUGGCCGCCCUCCCGCAGAAAUCUUCCUUUACCACGCUGUCAGCCGGCCUGCUCCAAGGGCCAGAUGUAGAACAGCCUCCGCAGCGAGGGGCAAACCCGGGCAAAGGAGGGCAAGUCGUGGUGGGCCACCUCUCACGUUUAUCUCCGUGUCUGUCAUCCGCAGAAGCGGCUUUAGAGAGCGACUGAGCGUCUCGCUCAGGUGUACACAGCCGUGCAGAGAGGCCAGUCCCCGUGGAGCUGCACUUAAUAAGCGCACCCUCUUUGCCGUCGCCGCCCCAGAGGUGCCUAUCGGGCUGAGCUGUGAAUAACUAAGAGAGAGGCCAAGCCAAGUCAUGGCGUUUGUGCGUGCCCUGGACGUGGGCACCGGUCAGUCAGCGGAGCCUCCUCACCUCCGUUCGCAGCUAACAUGCUCGUUAGGCCUUCGGAAGAGGCGACCGGAGGCGAUGUUCGCUGACCCAACAAAGACAGCAGGUGGAGUAGGCACAAACGGAAAACUGUUGCCAGUGCCCUAAGCAGAAUGCAGGUGUAAAAAUCAGCACUAGGACGUCAAAGCGAUGGUACCACAGUCAAAUCCCACAAUGUCUACACUCUACCAAGCACUUGCGCACGCUCCCCCUUUUCCAUUCAGUAUUCCCAAGAGGGGUUUGGAAGAACCCCGCGUCCACUGUAAGCUCAGGGGAGAGCGGGAGCCAGGGAGGUGAAGUGCACAGACUGGACAGAGGCGGCGGGCAGAACCGCGGGGGUGAGAGGGCGCGUGGUUGCGGGGCGGGAGCCACUGCUGAAAGGCGGCCUGGGUUGUCGUGUGGGGUGACUGUCGGUGGAAUCUUUGGCAGAGAGUGGUUUGGAAGAAUGGCGAAGGGGGCAGUGGGUAGGGUGGUGAACCUGAGCGUCCGACCAGGGCGAGGACGCUGUGCUGUCCCUGCAGGGCAUGCGCUCAUUCCCACUUACCUGGCAGGAAAGAGACCGUGGUCACGAAGGGGGUUCUCCCAGAGUGAAGCUUCUUCAUCGCACUCUAGAGUUGCUGAUCUCUGUGAUUUCUUCAAUGUGGGAAACGGUGUUUGUGCUAGAAGAGGGCUGCGCUCUCUACCUAACAUAAACGGGGUUCAAAACUGACAUCGCCUCACGCCUACCCGAAAACGUUUACGUGGCUUCCUUGUCUCUUUGUUUUUUCUGUCCUAAAGUCGCCUUAUCCUCACACCCCCUCAUGUUUUUCUUCCACACUCGAGAGUGUCUCUCCGUCUCAUUAAAAGCCCCACCAAAUAUUUGAAAUAUCUCAACCAGAAAGGCUGCAAUGAAUACAGUAUUUCAUUUGUGGAAGCUACAGACCAGCUAGGUUGAGAGUUGCUUGAUAUUUUCUGCUAAACCGUGAGGCAUAGAGCACUUGGAAGGUUUCUCUUUGGGCCUUUGUUUGUGUACUAUUGGGUUUCCUUCUUUUCCCCAGACCGUAUGGCGCUGUGGGGCCAGCGGUAAACCCUGCUUUCUGGCUGCAGAUAAAGGCCGCAGCUGGUGCAGGAAUUAAAAGCAAACCAAAAGACUCGUGGGUUCGCCCCAGUGGGUCCAAGAUAGAGUCUGACUGUACCAGGAUUCAGAUUAGAACAGAGGUUGCUGCAGGCACAAGGCAGGGUACUAACCACUAUAGAAUCCCAAUGCGCCCCACACCUACUGCCCGUCGUUUUGCUUCCCCACCCCUCUUUUAUUUAUUUAUGCAUUUUUUUUGAGAGACAGAAUUUCGCUUUGUCGCCCAGGCUGGAGGGCAGUGGCGCGAUCUCGGCUCACUGCCACCUCUGCCUCUCAGGUUCAAGCGAUUCUCCUGCCUCAGCCUCCUGAGUAGCUGGGACUACAAGCGUCGCCACCACACCCAGCUAAUUUUUGUAUUUUUAGUAGAGACGGGCUUUCACCAUGUUGGCCCGGCUGGUCUCGAACUCCUGACUUCAAGUGAGUGAUCCACCCACCUCGGCCUCCCAAAGUGCUGGGAUUACAGGCGUGAGCCACUGCGCCCGGUCCCCCGAUUUUUUUUUUAAUGUAAAAACAUUUAUGCGAUUUUUACGUGUUUAUUCUUGGGCAGCUACAGGUUCUUGUGAUUUUCCCUCACGUCUUCUCCAGUCCAUUCUGAUACGUGUCCCAUCUUCUCUGCAUCCAGCCGCUGCCCUCUGCACCGGCAUCCUGGGCUGUCCCAUUGUCUCGUCCUGGUCUCCCCUGCUUCUUCUCCCUCCUUCUUUUCAGGUUUUCCCUUUUGACUCCCCUGCCUCUUUCCCGCUCCCGCCCCACCAACCCCAUCUACUGAAGCCGAGUUGAGUGAGGGGAUAGCAAGCGGAGUAGAUGAUUGCCUGAAGGCGGCGCAAAAAAACAGAAAGAGCUACCUACCAUGAGAGCCGUCGGGGCGUUCAGCUUCCCUUGGGCCCUACUAGGCUCAGGCUGGGGUCGCAGAUCCAGGCAAUGCAAGCGUUUCUAACGUGCAACAACACGAUUAGUCGACUCAGCCUCUCCGGUUUUCCGAAGCUUUGUAGUCUGCACAGUUGUCCUGCAGAAAGCGAAUGGCAACCCCUAGAGUUUAGUGAUUGCUUAAUCUAUGUUGAGAUGAAAGCGACCAACUGAGGUUAUCUCCGUGGAGCAAUUGGUUAGCGCGUUCGGCUGUUAACCGGAAAGUUGGUGGUUCGAGCCUACCCAGGGACGUGCUUUUAAAUGUUGGUUAGUUGUGGUCAGGCGCGGUGGCUCACGCCUAUUAAUCCCAACACUUUGAGAGGCCGACGUAGGGGAAGCCUCGCCUGAGCUCAGUUCAAGACCAGUGAGAAUCCCAUCUCAUUAAAAAAAAAAAAAAAAAAAAAAUUGCAGUUGUUUCUCCUCAGGCCUAUCACUGUAUUUAAAAAGUGAGAGAUUGUUCCCUUGUGUCUUGUGCAUCCUAUAAGUACAUAAAGCAAAAGGUCCCCCUCCAAGCCUCCUAUAAAAUAAGAUCCCUCCAGAUCAAACUAGGUUCCAGAUAGGCUGGAGUGCAGUGGAACAAUCUUGGCUCACUGCAACCUCUGCUUCCCGGGUUCAAGCGAUUGUCCUGACUCAGACUCCUGAGUAGCAGAGAUUACAGGCGUGGGCCACCACACCGGACUAAUUUUUGUAUUUUUAGUAGAGAGAGGGGUUCACCAUAUUGGCCAAGCUGGUCUCAACCACCUGACCUCAAGUGAUCUGCCUGCCUCAGCUUCCCAAAGUGCUGGGAUUACAGGCGUGAGCCACCACGCCCAGCUAAACAGUCAGAUGUUAAAAUUAUAUAUUCGUCUAUUAGAUGUCAUGUCUAGUUUUUUUUUUUUUUUUUUUUUGUACAACCAGAUUUUCAUCCGAUGUCAGUUUCGUUCUGCCUGGAGGACUCCUUCAACUUUUUUUUUUUUUUGUGGUAAUGGCUGGUGGUAGUGAAUUUUCAGCUUUUGUAGAAUUUCACAUUGACUUUUCCCCUCAGUGCGG
rnacentral:tRNA from 10 species